rnacentral:rRNA from 1 species
GAUGAACGCUGGCGGCGUGCCUAAUACAUGCAAGUCGAGCGAACAGACGAGGAGCUUGCUCCUCUGACGUUAGCGGCGGACGGGUGAGUAACACGUGGAUAACCUACCUAUAAGACUGGGAUAACUUCGGGAAACCGGAGCUAAUACCGGAUAAUAUAUUGAACCGCAUGGUUCAAUAGUGAAAGACGGUUUUGCUGUCACUUAUAGAUGGAUCCGCGCCGCAUUAGCUAGUUGGUAAGGUAACGGCUUACCAAGGCAACGAUGCGUAGCCGACCUGAGAGGGUGAUCGGCCACACUGGAACUGAGACACGGUCCAGACUCCUACGGGAGGCAGCAGUAGGGAAUCUUCCGCAAUGGGCGGAAGCCUGACGGAGCAACGCCGCGUGAAUGAUGAAGGUCUUCGGAUCGUAAAACUCUGUUAUUAGGGAAGAACAAAUGUGUAAGUAACUAUGCACGUCUUGACGGUACCUAAUCAGAAAGCCACGGCUAACUACGUG